rnacentral:pre_miRNA from 1 species
UCUUAAGAAUGAGCAAAGAAAGUAGUUUUUUGAGAUGGAAUCUACUCCUGGUGAAGAUGCCCUGAAGA